AUGAACGCUGGCGGCGUGCCUCAUACCUGCAAGUCGAGCGAACGGACGAGAAGCUUGCUUUUCUGAUGUUAGCGGCGGACGGGUGAGUAACCCGUGGAUAACCUACCUAUAAGACUGGGAUAACUUCGGGAAACCGGAGCUAAUACCGGAUAAUAUUUUGAACCGCAUGGUUCAAAAGUGAAAGACGGUCUUGCUGUCACUUAUAGAUGGAUCCGCGCUGCAUUAGCUAGUUGGUAAGGUAACGGCUUACCAAGGCAACGAUGCAUAGCCGACCUGAGAGGGUGAUCGGCCACACUGGAACUGAGACACGGUCCAGACUCCUACGGGAGGCAGCAGUAGGGAAUCUUCCGCAAUGGGCGAAAGCCUGACGGAGCAACGCCGCGUGAGUGAUGAAGGUCUUCGGAUCGUAAAACUCUGUUAUUAGGGAAGAACAUAUGUGUAAGUAACUGUGCACAUCUUGACGGUACCUAAUCAGAAAGCCACGGCUAACUACGUG
rnacentral:rRNA from 1 species